UACGAAGGGGGCUAGCGUUGUUCGGAAUUACUGGGCGUAAAGCGCACGUAGGCGGAUUGUUAAGUCGGGGGGUGAAAAUCCUGAGGCUCAACCUCAGACUGCCUUCGAUACUGGCAAUCUCGAGUCCGGAAGAGGUUGGUGGAAACAGCUAGUGUAGAGGUGAAAAUUCGUAGAUAUUAGCUAGAACACCAGUGGCGAAAGGCGGCCCAAACUGGGUCCGGGUACUG
rnacentral:rRNA from 1 species